UACGAAGGGGGCUAGCGUUGCUCGGAAUUACUGGGCGUAAAGCGCACGUAGGCGGUCUUUUAAGUCGGGGGUGAAAUCCUGGAGCUCAACUCCAGAACUGCCCUCGAUACUGGAAGACUCGAGUCCGGGAGAGGUGAGUGGAACUGCGAGUGUAGAGGUGAAAUUCGUAGAUAUUCGCAAGAACACCAGUGGCGAAGGCGGCUCACUGGCCCGGUACUGACGCUGAGGUGCGAAAGCGUGGGGAGCAAACAGG
rnacentral:rRNA from 1 species